UACAGAGGUCCCGAGCGUUGUUCGGAUUCACUGGGCGUAAAGGGUGCGUAGGUGGCUUGACAAGUUUGAUGUGAAAUCUCCGGGCUUAACCCGGAAAAUGCAUUGAAUACUGUAGAGGCUUGAGGUUUGGAGGGGGGAUUGGAAUUCUCGGUGUAGCAGUGAAAUGCGUAGAUAUCGAGAGGAACACCAGUGGCGAAGGCGAGUCCCUGGACAACACCUGACACUGAGGCACGAAAGCCGGGGGAGCGAAUGGG
rnacentral:rRNA from 1 species